UAUGUGAUCGUCUCUCGCAUAUCAAUAAGCGGAGGAAAAGAAACUAACGAGGAUUCCCCUAGUAACGGCGAGUGAAGCGGGAAGAGCUCAAAUUUGAAAUCUUAAAGGGUUUCCCUUUACGAAUUGUAGUUUAAAGAAGUGUUUUCUGUUGAGGUUUUGGUAAAAGUUCUUUGGAAUAGGACAUCAUAGAGGGUGAGAAUCCCGUAUUUGACCUUUACUUUCAACUUUGUGAUACACUUUCAAAGAGUCGGAUUGUUUGGGAAUGCAGUCCAAAAUGGGUGGUAAAUUUCAUCUAAAGCUAAAUAUUGGCGAGAGACCGAUAGCGAACAAGUACCGUGAGGGAAAGAUGAAAAGAACUUUGAAAAGAGAGUUAAACAGUACGUGAAAUUGUCAAAAGGGAAGCGUUUGACACCAGUGUUGUUUUUCUGAAAAUCAAUUAAAGAACUGUUUAUGCUAAGUUGUUUAGACUUUAUCAGCUAACUGUUUAGUUUUGAGCUUUUCUUUAAUGCACUUUUCAGUUAACAAGUCAACAUCAAUUUCUUUUGCUGUAAAAAAGCUUGAGGAAGGUGGCUUGAGAUUCGUCUUAAGUGUUUAUAGCCUCUUGCCUAUGCAGUCGGAGAGAUUGAGGUCUGCAGCGUAGAUCCUUCGGGGCUAAAUGCAUUUGUGCUAAGUUAUAGCAUUUUAUAGACAACUUGUUGACUAUGAUUUGUCUUGUAGCUUACUCGCUUAUGUUAUUUUACCUACGCUUAGGAUGUUGAUCUACAGAGCGAGAGU
rnacentral:rRNA from 1 species